rnacentral:rRNA from 1 species
AUCGCAAGACCUUGCGCUUUUGGAGCGGCCGAUGUCUGAUUAGCUAGUUGGUGAGGUAAAGGCUUACCAAGGCUUCGAUCAGUAGCUGGUCUGAGAGGACGACCAGCCACACUGGGACUGAGACACGGCCCAGACUCCUACGGGAGGCAGCAGUGGGGAAUUUUGGACAAUGGGGGAAACCCUGAUCCAGCCAUGCCGCGUGAGUGAAGAAGGCCUUCGGGUUGUAAAGCUCUUUCAGCCGGAACGAAAAGGUUACGGUUAAUACCCGUGACUAAUGACGGUACCGGAAGAAGAAGCACCGGCUAACUACGUGCCAGCAGCCGCGGUAAUACGUAGGGUGCGAGCGUUAAUCGGAAUUACUGGGCGUAAAGCGUGCGCAGGCGGUUUUGUAAGUCAGAUGUGAAAUCCCCGGGCUCAACCUGGGAACUGCGUUUGAA